rnacentral:rRNA from 1 species
AUUGAACGCUGGCGGCAGGCCUAACACAUGCAAGUCGAGCGGAGCGGCGGACGGGUGAGUAAUGCCUAGGAAUCUGCCUGGUAGUGGGGGAUAACGUCCGGAAACGGGCGCUAAUACCGCAUACCUUCAGAUGUGCCCAGAUGGGAUUAGCUAGUAGGUGGGGUAACGGCUAACCUAGGCGACGAUCCCUAGCUGGUCUGAGAGGAUGACCAGCCACACUGGAACGGAGACACGGUCCAGACUCCUACGGGAGGCAGCAGUGGGGAAUAUUGCACAAUGGGCGCAAGCCUGAUGCAGCCAUGCCGCGUGUGUGAAGAAGGUCUUCGGAUUGUAAAGCACUUUAAGUUGGGAGGCGUUACCAACAGAAUAAGCACCGGCUAACUUCGUGCCAGCAGCCGCGGUAAUUC